ensembl:rRNA 5S_rRNA 5S ribosomal RNA
GUCAAUGGCCAUGCCAACCUGAACGUGCCUGAUUCUGUCUGAUCUUGGAAGCUAAGCAGGGUCAGGCCUGGUUAGUACUUGGAUGGGAGACCACCUAGAAAUACCAGAUGCUGUAGGUG